rnacentral:lncRNA from 1 species
GUCUGUUGCCUGGUGUGUGGGAAACCCCCACACGCUGGACCACAGAAGUCUUCUGUGUUGACUGUUGAAUGAGGGAAGAGAAAAAGCCCUUUGAGAGAGAGAGAGAGAGAGAGAGAGAGAGAGAGAGAGAGAGAGUGUGUGUGUGUGUGUAUGUGUGUGUUUUCCACUCAAGGACCUUUGGGGGAAAUGGCUGCACACUUCAUAGCUUCAGAAGAUCAAGACCAAUUUAUGGAGAAACCGAGAGAUGAGUCCUCACAAGCCCAUUUUCCAGAUGAAAAGCUGAGGCCCAGUGAGGGGAAUGGUCACAGAGGGACACUGGAUAGCCUGGGAGUUCGGACCAAGAGUCCUACAUCCCCUCCACCGCCGACCCCACCCAGGCUGGCCCUGAGCUGCUGCACAAGAACUUGCCCGUGACCUCCCGAUCCCAGCCGCUGCCCUCUGACCUCCCGAUCCCAGCCGCUGCCCUCGCUGAGCUUGGACCACGUGCCUGAGACCCGUCUUUCCUCAUUUAAACCCUGCUCGGGGUGGGGGGGGCUCCACACCGGCGGGGAACGUGCUUGUUCACCGUGUGUUCUUAGCCUCUAGAACAGAGCCUCAGGCACAGGAGGCACUUCACAUUUAUUGAAUAAAUAGAUGAAUGAAUCAGUGUCAUCCUC